rnacentral:lncRNA from 1 species
UGGGAGAGCGCGGGACAUUUCCACUCAAAAGAAUUAUAGCCACCGCUCAAAAAAAGAGGAGAAUUAGAGCCACCACAUGACCUGUUCUCCCCCAAAUCGGCCCCUCCCUAGACCUCCUCCUCGACCACCGCCGCCGCCCCCUCUGCCGUUGACCACGCCCUCCACCUCCCCCCUUUGGUUGACCUGUGCGACCCCAUCGGGAUCUAUGGCGGCGGUGCUUGGAUCUCGGCGUCGCCUCCCUCGAUACGCCUAUGGUGUACGAGGUCGUCGUUGCCUCCCUCCCUUCGACACCACCACCAGAACUGGUCGACGAUGCCGGUCGCCUCCAUCUCUUCUUUACAGUCCAUCACGCCGACGAGCAUAGGCCCCCACCACAGCUUCCUCCCCGCCAACGGCGAGCGUGGUGUCCCAUCUCUACUGUGCUGGUACAAUACUUUCCUCAGAUCCAUCUUGGUGGAAACCUGAUGCAGGUGAGAUCUUCCUUACCAAGGUUGUUAAUCUUUUCUUCUCUGCUCGAUGAGAAAUCAUGGUACUCAUUGUCCAGUUCUCCGUACGAAGGCAGAUUUUUCCCUUCCAGCGAGUUACUACUGAGCGUGUUCCUUAUUGUUUUUUUCCUUUUCCUACCAAAUUGAUGCAGGUGCUAUUAGUGAAAGGAUUGGAGACUGGUUCUAGCAGUGGUUGGUUUGUUCGAGGAAUUCCUGGUGCUCGUGAUUAGUAAAGGGUUUCAGCCCAGGUUAGUGUAUAUUUCGUUUUGUUAUCUUAAUAUGCAAGUAUAUGUGCCUACUUCAUUUGCUUGUAUCCAUCCUUCUUAGUACAUGGAUCGGUCUUUAUUUAUUCAGGUUCAGACAUUGCGCAACUGAAGACUGUGUAUACUAGUCAAAGGCACGAGCUAUGCACGUGUUCUUCACUCACUCAUCUGUUUAUUUGAGCAACAUUUAUUUUCAGACGGGAGUAGUAUGUAUGCUGUUGAGUGUUAAAUCCCGUCCAAAGGAUUGGCAAGUUGCUGCUUCAAAAAUUGGUAGAUACAAACGAUUAGUGCUCUGUACAAGCUAGUUGUUUAUAGAAGAAGGUUACUCUAGUCAUCGUUGUUUCCCGAUCAUAGCCACAAAAGAUCUUGAAUAGCAGAGUUUCACCAGUGGGCCCAUUUGGAACCGUCAGGAUUCCAGAAAGGUCCUGGAGUCGUUUUGGCGCUUGCCCGUACAUUGCGAAUCUAAGAAAUGUCAACCAUUAGAUCUCUUGGGCAAGGUACUGAUGAACGGUGGAUAUUCAUUUUAUGGAACAAAUCAAUGACUUGUAUUUGCUCUGGAGUCUGGGCGGACUGCUAAUCCAAAUUCAAAAAAUUAUGUACUAUAGUAGUAGGGGAAUGUAGCGCUCUAUAAAGUUUUUGGUGCCACCAUCUGAAAGAGCUAAAUUUAUAGACAUGAGUGUGGAUUUGAUAUUAAAAAUUUCUCUACAAAAGUAGCUACUUUUCCUGCCCUGAUUUACCAUCUAGCUAAUUGUUUCAUAGGAGUUCAAUACUGAGGUAACAGUUUUUUUCUCUCAAACUUGUGCUUGAAUGUACCAAUGAAGAUGCUCUUCACAACUCUAAUUCUUGGUGCCAAUGGGUAUUCUUCCAUUUACUAUGAUUAAGUGCUCUUUGUGCUAAUUCUGGAUGUUAAAAGAAAAUGAACUUUGACUAAUGAACAUGUAGUUGGAAUGAACAAGUACCCUUGUUUAUCUCCAUUGAUCGAUUGAUGUCAGAUCAUUUAGUUCACUCGUUAUCACGCACAUAUACUUGUACAUGUAAGAAAAGCAAUCAGAUAGAGAAUCUCUUUCUGUCUCUUCUGUGUUUGCUACAAAUAUAGACUGAAAGUGGAGUACUGCUUCUAGAGUUUAAAGAUUUGAACUUGCAAAAGUGUUAGUUCUCUGAUAUGAAGUUUAUUAUUUAUGUACUGUGAAAGUUGUUGUCUGAAUGUGAUAUAACCAUAUAUUAUAUAAAGAACAAGUUCACAUCGGUACCAAAAAUUAUGCUUAAACUUUCAUGCCAUCUAAUAGAUAGUAGUUUGUGUAUACUUUUCAACUUCACAAGCAUUGCAGUAACUACAUUGUCACAGGAAAUUAGAUAUUUUGAGAAGCUUCUACAAGAUCUUGAUAUCAUUUGUGUUCUAUCCCUUGAUCCUGUGCUUGAGAAGGUGCUUCCCUAAAUUGCACAAGUCCGAAAACUUGUACGUGAUUUGAUGUUCUUCUGGCGGUCACACUUACAUCCUUCAAGGAUCAUCCUUAUCAGUUAUUACAGUAAAUUUGUCGAUUUAGCGUUGUAAUUGCUAUUUGCACUAUUAGGAGUAUCUCCUGGAAAAAAAAUCUUCUAUAGAUAAACGUGACUAAUGUAUGUGUGUUGUGUUAGAUAUAGAUUUGGUUAUGAGUUACUACUUUUUGUGGUCAUGGGGAAAUUAAUCAUUCCAGGAUCUCAACAUUGUAGUAUUUUGCACAAAUUUGUGAAGUUCAACGCCUUAGUGUCAUGGCUCAGGACUAAAUGUUCUUGAGUUAUCACAUCAAAACUUGAGAUGUGAAAAUCAAACUACUUUUGCUUACUUGAUUCUUUUGAGCGUGCAUAUGAAACAAUGGUUAUCUAUGUCGCUUGCCUGUGCUAUCAGCUACUAUGAUCUAUCUUUCAUACUUAUAUACACAUUAUGCUUGGACAUGUGUUGUUUGUGUGAAAGGAAACAUCUAGUAUUUUGUAAUGCUUGAACUCAGGGUAAUCACUCCUUAAAUAUUUCUCCAUUUAAUCGAGUAAGAACAGUUCUUCAGAACAUUUUAUCAUUUUCAUAUUUAGACAUCUUGAUAGGAAGCACCAGGGAAUGUUUGUAGUUUCGAUUUAUAUUGUACGUAAAGGACUGUAGAUAUGCUCUCUGCCAGUGAAAACUUCUAAAUGAUCUAUGCACUAUGGCAGUGCCGCAGUGGAUACUUCUAAAUGACUGCACACAUGUUUUUAUUAAGUCUUAUCAGUAUAGGGAGUUCAAUAAUCUUUUGGUGCUAAACAAGCGGAUGCUACAACUGAAUACUAAAUCAUUAAAACGUUGUAGGAGUUUUACAAGCAAGCUUUGGGUAAAAAGAUUUUUGUAUUGUGAUGUUUAUUCCCAUUGGUCGAUCGAUGUGAUAUCAUCUAGUUCAACUGUCAUCAUGCACAUAUACUGUUACAUGGAAGAAAAAUAACUAGCUAGAGAACUUAUUUAUGUCUCCUUUCAUUUUGCUGCUAAGACAGACUGAAAGUGGAGUACUCUUCUAGAGUUUAAUUGUUAGUACAUGCUGAUUUUAUAAGGUUGGGGUCUUCAAUCUAGUUUUUACUCAAUAAGUUACUGUUUCUUAAGAAUAACAUGAAGCAUGGAUUCUUAUAUGUUCCAUGUAUUAUGUCAGGGCAAGUAAUUAUCAGCUGAGCAAAGGCUACAAGAUGCUAGAAGGAGAAGUUUGAAUGGAGGCAGAGAGUACACUAGGUAAGUCAUAUAUCCAACCUGAACUUGUUUACUCAUUUUUUAUUUUUGUUCUAGUCUGAGUCCAAAAAUAUGGCUUGACAAAUGGGGGUGACAUUCUGUACACAUGUGCACAUCUACCAUUCAUGCUUGUGAAGCACUUUUAAAAAUAAAAUGAAUAUGGCCAAAUUUGGGUUCCAAGUUUUGCCAUGCUGUCAUGACUUCGUAUUAGUUUGCCCCCUUCAACAUGUAAAACUAUGAACCUGACCAUAUUUUAUUUGGAACAUUUAGAUGAUGUUUCAGAAUGAAAACAAAAGGCAACGAUGAGAAGGAAAACAAACGGCAAUCUACUUACAUCUGAUGUGUAAAUUCUAAUGUGCCAAAAAUUUCUCUUUUCAGGAAAUAGAAUGGAAAAAGGAAGAGAAGACAAUGCUGAAGCACAAGAGUGAGAGGCUAGCGGAAGUUAAAGCAAUAAACUAUAAGCAUUUUGAAUGAUUUGGGCCUCGUGUUGUUGGGAACAUUACAACCAUGGGGAAAGCUAAUUUUGGUUGCUAGUUUAGCAUAGAACACUAUAUGCUCAUUUUGGUCAUGUCGAAUCCAAAAACAUAUUUAAUUUUCCUUUUGUUGCACAACACCCUUAUAUAUGGGCGUUUCUAGGAACAUAUGUAUUUGGUCGUUAAUUUCAUUGAAUGAAGUUAAGUUUUAUGAUGAGGUCCAUAUGUGAAUUAUGAAAUAGUGUCAUUUGUCUUGAUUGCCUGGAAAAAUGAAUGCAUAUUAAAUUAGCGAUUUGUUGCCC